rnacentral:lncRNA from 1 species
AAAAAAAAAAAAAUCCACAGCCUUGUCAUGGCUAAACAAUGAGGAACAGAAAGCCCCUUGGCAAAGCAGAACAAAAGGUCACUCCCUCCACAGCAGCAGUCCCCAGGAGCAGGGGGCUGGGCCCAAACCACAGCCCUGGGAGCCGGCCUCUGGUCAGUACAGGGGCCCCCCAGGAGGUCCCCAAAACAUGGCAAGCAUUCUCUAGGAAAUGCAGGGCUACAGAAGCUUCCAGUUCCUGUGCCUUGGAUUGGGGAGGCUCCAAUUCACACCCCACUCACCCCACAGGGGAUCUUUGACAUGUUAAAAUGAGGAAAUAAGUUGGAUAGUACUUGAUUCAGUCAGCGUGUUCAGCAAACUACAAUCUUCCAAAAUAUGGGGGCCUCAAGUGAAAAAUUGAAAAUCACUGUUGAGGGUUAACUGAC